GAGUUUGAUCCUGGCUCAGGACGAACGCUGGCGGUGUGCUUCACACAUGCAAGUCGAACGGGGUAGCAAUACCCAGUGGCGGACGGGUGAGUAACACGUGGGAAUCUACCAUAAGGUGGGGAAUAACAGGCCGAAAGGUCUGCUAAUGCCGCAUAUGUAGGCAUCUCGACAGAGGUGUUUAUGAAAGGAGUAAUCCGCCUUUUGAUGAGCCCGCGUCCGAUUAGCUAGUUGGUAGGGUAAAAGCCUACCAAGGCGACGAUCGGUAGGUGGUCUGAGAGGAUGAUCACCCACAAUGGGACUGAGACACGGCCCAUACUCCUACGGGAGGCAGCAGUGGGGAAUUUUACGCAAUGGGGGAAACCCUGACGUAGCGACACCGCGUGAGCGAAGAAGCCCUUUGGGGUGUAAAGCUCUGUCAACAGGAACGAAAUCAAUGACGGUACCUGUGGAGGAAGCAUCGGCUAAUUACGUGCCAGCCGCCGCAGU
rnacentral:rRNA from 1 species